CGACAGACCGCGUAAGGGAUUGCAGCGUAAAUCCUUUUAUUUUAUGUAGCGCAGCGAAAGAAAAAUAAAAGAUUGCAGCGAAAAGCCCGGCCCGCA
rnacentral:sRNA from 1 species